CCAAUGCUCCUGUUACGCGGACCUGGUUGGAUCAACAUAUUGCGUUGCCUACACACACGUAAAAAUUCUCCAUCAAAUCAACCACGUAGAGGGUUCUGUGCCUCUUAACAUGGUACUAUGCGGCGAGAUCGUGUAGAUGAUUGAGACUAACUUUCUAGAGAAACAGUACCAUAAAGCCCCACAAGACGGCACUCGUUUAUUUGUCGUAUACCAAAUGAUGACACUGGUUCCAAAGUACAGCCGGGCUCUUGGUCUCCCUGGCUGGCGCGAGAACAACAGUUCGUGAAAGGUAUAUAGCUACGUCUACUGCUUACUAUAAUUUUUUUGAUGUUUUCAUGUGGUGUCAAUAUAAAUAGCUAGCGCCCUCCAGCGACCCUUUUUUCUUCUACGUUGCUGGUCCGGACACGAAGAUGCAGCGAUUUUAUGGGGAUAUCGCGCCAAUGAUAACGACGAUAGUGGUGAUGGUCAUGAAGAUAAUACACGCAUUGAUAAUCUAUUCGAUGCGGGUAGGAAGGGCAUAACCACAGUGUAUUAUAUGGUGGAUGAAUGUUUAAGUAUCUAGAACAUAGUCUGUUUGCAACGAACAAAAAAAACUUGCCAUUAAUUGCCAAGAGCCCAAAUAACUUAGUAAAAAAAUAAGCAAAUAAGAUUUGUUUUAUGGUCCACGAGCUCUACGGUGUAGAUGUUUGUUGUGUAUACGUUUAGUUAGUUGGCAAGAAGCAUAAGCUCGUAAUACUUGAUAAAUAAUUAUCUCGAGUGGAACUGUAUUUGUAACGUAACUGCGAACUGUGUUUGUUUUCAAGUGAAAUUAAUUUAUUUAGCUAUAGGCGGCUGGCUCAGAGAGUUACCAUGGAAAAGUAUUUGCGCCGAGUUCUUACUUCUGUUAUAUUUCGUCCAGCUUAACUGACGCUUUUCAGUGAUGGAAAAUUAUCUCCUAUAUACUAUAUGCAUCUGUGAUUCUCAAUAAUGGUGCUACCGGCUCAACAAAGCGGCACGUAUCUGUGCGGACGUAUGAAGGAAAUGCUCCUUAUAUCAGAAUAUAGACAUAGUUCACUGUCGGCCGAAAAGCAGUAAUAAAACAAAGCAUGAUUUGACUCUCAUCUGAGAAUGGAAGCGUCUGUUGCAUAAGAGUCGCACCGUCCCGGCGGGCAAACGAAAUUUUAUACGUCUUCGUCUCGUCGAAAGACCAAGAACACGUUUCAGUCUCUGAGGGAGUAAAUGGAAGACGAUGAUAUCGUUCGAAACCUGGGAAGACUGAAAUUUUCAUAACUGCUAUUUACAAAAGGUCUAAAGAUAAGAAAUUGAGAUAUUGUCUUUUUCCUAACACGUACUCAUACUGUUUUAUAUUUCCGGUUCCUCGAUGAUACAAUAUAGACUACUUCGCUACUCCAUCUACUUUAUUGAAGCACAGUUAACCAUCAAAUCCUUCACGUCCUCUUUUUUUGAUUCGCAUUAUUUAAUUUGCAAAACAUAUUUUUAAUUGACA